GUAAAGUGGUUGUAAGUGCGUUCACAACUGCAGGACUCUCGCCGUCUUCGUCGCAUUUGCUUCCUCGCAUCCAUUCUACAGCUUUCCAGUCGAGGACAUGGACGGCUUGCUUGGGAAAUACCUCUUCAUGGUGGUUGCUGCCACAUUCGCUGCACUGAUUAUGGCCCCACACGAAGCUGAGGCAAUUCCACGCUUUGUCACGGAUGCUAUCGCAAAGGCCAUUGGACGAAAUGAAGAAAAUGACGAGUAGCGAAGCGCCAGUCUCGGCGAUACAGUGUGGGUGAUCUGCGUCCCAUUGACGACGUCUACUUCGUAACUUAAUGAAAUGAAUGAAGCAAAAAAUGGCCUAGAAUGAAUAAACAACUGCACAUCAUUGGAGACAAACUUUCUCUUUUAUGCCGAAUGCCACUUUUUGUUCAUUUCCGUUCGUGUAAUCGCUCUUAUGUGCUGCUAUGCAUACAUUUAUUAUUCUCUUCUUUCAUAGGAUUUCAAAUGAGCCUUUCUCUCUUAAAAUAUUUCGCGGUAUGGUUUGAUUUUGGCUUGAAAUUCUACUCCUAUUAGAUAUUUUUUGCACAUUAUUCUGUGAACAACAGCGUUGUCGCAUUGCACUACUCCGGAAGUUAAAAUAUCAAUCAAAAACUGCGGAUGCACAUGUAACGAUGGUAACCGAAUAAAU